rnacentral:rRNA from 1 species
AUGGCGGCUUGGCCGAAUGACGCUCCUAUCGGCGACGAUCUGGACUGGGCGGCGCACACAGCGCACAUCCGCGCCGAGCUGGUGCGUGCCCAGCAGCGCUGCAAGAAACAAGCCGAUCGCAACCGCACCGAGCGCCAGUUCCAGGUGGGCGAGCAGGUACUCCUGAAACUGCAACCAUACGUCCAGAAAUCGGUCGUCAGCCGCCCAUGCGCCAAGCUCGCCUACAAGUUCUUCGGGCCCUACACUGUCAUCGCGAAGAUCGGGCUCUUGGCGUACAAGCUCGACCUGUCGGACUCCAGCUGCGUGCACCCAGUCUUCCACGUCUCGCAGCUGAAGCCGUUCACGCCUGAUUACAUGCCGGUGUAUGUUGAGCUGCCACGAGUGCCCGACCUGUCUGUGGCGACCACGUCACCCACGCGCAUCCUAAAGCGACGCAUGAUGAAGAAAGGGAACACACCAGUCGUAAAGAUCAGGGUGCAACGGGGGAACAGCUCGACGCCAUCCACUACGUGGGAGGACUACGACACUCUACGGCAACGCUUUCCAGCAGCUCUCAUCUUGGAAGACAAAGAAGCCAGCCCUGAAGACAGAGCUCGAUCUCAAGGAGGGGAGAAUGUCACACCUGGCCACUUGUCCGCCACUUGUCCAGUGUGA